rnacentral:rRNA from 1 species
GAUGAACGCUGGCGGCGUGCCUAAUACAUGCAAGUCGAGCGAACGGACGAUAAGCUUGCUUCUCUGAUGUUAGCGGCGGACGGGUGAGUAACACGUGGAUAACCUACCUAUAAGACUGGGAUAACUUCGUGAAACCGUAUCUAAUACCGGCUAAUAUUUUGAACCGCAUGGUUCAAAAGUUAAAGACGGUCUUGCUGUCACUUAUAGAUGGAUCCGCGCUGCAUUAGCUAGUUGGUAAGGUAACGGCUUACCAAGGCAACGAUGCAUAGCCGACCUGAGAGGGUGAUCGGCCACACUGGAACUGAGACACGGUCCAGACUCCUACGGGAGGCAGCAGUAGGGAAUAUUCCGCAAAGGGCGAAAGCCUGACGGAGCAACGCCGCGUGAGUGAUGAAGGUCUUCGGAUCGUAAAACUCUGUUAUUAGGGAAGAACAUAUGUGUAAGUAACUGUGCACAUCUUGACGGUACCUAAUCAGAAAGCCACGGCUAACUACGUG